rnacentral:rRNA from 1 species
AUGGGCGAGGAGGCCCCGGCCGCGGUCACCGCGGCGGCGGCGACGUCGCCGGCGCCCCACUUGCUCCUCAUAUGCUUCCCGGGGCAGGGCCACGUCAACCCCAUGCUCCGCCUCGCCAAGCGCUUCGCGGCCAAGGGUCUCCUGGUCACCUUCUCCUCGACCUCCUACGUUGGAGGCAAGAUCACGGCCUCCUCCGGGGUGGAGGCUGGCGGCGACGGCGUGCCGCUCGGCCACGGAACGAUCCGGUUCGAGUUCUUGGACGACGAUUUCGACGGGAACGACCUCGACGACCUGAUGAGGCACCUGGAGACGACCGGCCCGGUGGUGUUCGCGGAGCUGCUGAGGCGCCAGGACGAGGCGGGACGCCCUGUGACGUGCGUCGUCGGGAACCCGUUCCUCCCGUGGGCUAUCGACGUCGCCCACGACGCCGGCAUCCCCACGGCGGUGCUGUGGGUGCAGUCGUGCGCCGUGUUCUCGCUCUACUACCACCACGUGCACGGGCUCGUGGAGUUCCCGCCCGAGGACGACCUCGACGCCCGGGUCAACCUCCCGGGCCUCCCGGCGCUGUCCGUCGCCGACGUGCCGUCGUUCCUGCUGCCGUCGAACCCCUACAAGCUCCUCACCGACGCGAUACUGAAGCAGUUCCGUACCAUCCACAAGGCGUCGUGGGUGUUCGUCAACUCCUUCUAUGAGCUGGAGCCCGACGUGGUGGACGCGCUCCCGGGCAUCUCGCCGCCGCCGCCGCCACUCAUCCCCGUGGGACCGCUCGUGGAGCUGGAGGAGGAGGGCGCCGUGCGCGGCGACAUGAUCAAGGCGGCGGACGACUGCGUGGGGUGGCUGGACGCGCAGGCGCCGCGCUCCGUCGUGUACGCGUCGCUCGGCAGCGUCGUGGUGCUGUCCGCCGAGGAGCUGGCCGAGAUGGCGCACGGGCUCGCGUCCACCGGCCGCCCCUUCCUGUGGGUGGUUCGGCCGGACUGCAGCGCGAUGCUCCCGGAAGGGUACCUGGACUCCGUCGCCGGGCGCGGCAUGGUGGUGCCGUGGAGCCCGCAGGACCUGGUGCUCGCGCACCCGUCCACGGCGUGCUUCCUCACGCACUGCGGCUGGAACUCCACGCUGGAGACGCUCGCGGCUGGGCUUCCCGUGGUGGCGUUCCCGCAGUGGGGCGACCAGUGCACGGACGCCAAGUACCUUGUGGAGGAGUUCAAGAUGGGGGUGCGCAUCGGCACGCCGCUGCGGAGGGACGCCGUGCGCGACGCCGUGGAGGACGUCGUGGCCGGGCCGGACGCCGGCGCGAUGUUCGAGAAGGCCAGAGCGUGGAGCGCGGCGGCGAGGACGGCCGUGGCGGCCGGCGGGUCGUCGGACCGCCACGUACAGGCGUUUGUUGACCAGGUUGUGGCGGGAACCAUUGGCGCACGAGCAGAUAAGGCCCUUGUGGCUGCGGAGCAGCAAGGUUUCGAUUCAUCUUCUCUACGUGGAAACUAA